rnacentral:rRNA from 1 species
UUCAUGGAGAGUUUGAUCCUGGCUCAGGACGAACGCUGGCGGCGUGCCUAAUACAUGCAAGUCGAGCGGACCGACGGGAGCUUGCUCCCUUAGGUCAGCGGCGGACGGGUGAGUAACACGUGGGUAACCUGCCUGUAAGACUGGGAUAACUCCGGGAAACCGGGGCUAAUACCGGAUGCUUGAUUGAACCGCAUGGUUCAAUUAUAAAAGGUGGCUUUCAGCUACCACUUACAGAUGGAUCCGCGGCGCAUUAGCUAGUUGGUGAGGUAACGGCUCACCAAGGCAACGAUGCGUAGCCGACCUGAGAGGGUGAUCGGCCACACUGGGACUGAGACACGGCCCAGACUCCUACGGGAGGCAGCAGUAGGGAAUCUUCCGCAAUGGA